rnacentral:rRNA from 1 species
GAACCUUACCAAGGUUUGACAUGGACCGAAAACUCAUGGAGACAUGGGGUCCUUCGGGGCGGUUCACAGGUGGUGCAUGGCUGUCGUCAGCUCGUGUCGUGAGAUGUUGGGUUAAGUCCCGCAACGAGCGCAACCCUCGCCCUUAGUUGCCAUCAUUUAGUUGGGCACUCUAAGGGGACUGCCGGUGAUAAGCCGGAGGAAGGUGGGGAUGACGUCAAGUCCUCAUGGCCCUUACAGGCUGGGCUACACACGUGCUACAAUGGCGGUGACAGAGGGAUGCAAAGGAGCAAUCCUUAGCAAAUCUCAAAAAGCCGUCUCAGUUCGGAUUGUGCUCUGCAACUCGAGCACAUGAAGUUGGAAUCGCUAGUAAUCGCAGAUCAGCACGCUGCGGUGAAUACGUUCCCGGGCCUUGUCACACCGA